rnacentral:rRNA from 1 species
GUUAGUCUCGGCCCUAAACGAUGAUCACUAGGUGUCGGGGGGUUUCCCUCGGUGCCGCAGCUAACGCAUUAAGUGAUCCGCCUGGGGACUACGGCCGCAAGGUUGAAACUCAAAGGAAUUGGCGGGGGCCCGCACAAGCGGUGGAGCAUAUGGCUUAAUUCGAUGCAACGCGAAGAACCUUACCCAGGCUUGACAUGUACCUGCAAGCUCCCCAAAAGGAGCCGCUUUCGAAGGUGGUACACAGGUGGUGCAUGGCUGUCGUCAGCUCGUGUUGUGAAAUGUUGGGUUAAGUCCCGCAACGAGCGCAACCCUCAUGUUAUGUUGCCAGCGAGUAAUGUCGGGAACUCGUAACAAACUGCCUAUGUAAAUAGGAGGAAGGUGGGGAUGACGUCAAGUCAUCAUGCCCCUUACGCCUGGGGCUGCACAUAUGCUACAAUGGAUGCUACAAACAGAUGCGAUCCCGCGAGGGUUAGCUAAUCUGAAAAAAGCAUUCUCAGUUCGGAUUGGAGUCUGCAACUCGACUCCAUGAAGCCGGAAUCGCUAGUAACCGCAGGUCAGCAUUACUGCGGUGAAUACGUUCCCGGGCCUUGCACACACCGCCCGUCACGUGACGAAAGUUGGUUUUGCCCGAAGUCGUUGAGCUAACCGCAAGGAAGCAGACGCCGAAGGUAAAGCCGAUGAUUGGCGCGAAGUCGUAACAAGGUAGCCGUAUCGGAAGGUGC